CCCACCUCGCACCCCUGUCGCACUCAACGCCCAGUGCUCCUUCCUGUCACAGGUUAGCGCCCCCAAUCAAGAGGUGAACUGCCGUCAUGUGCUCAACGCCCCCAAUCAAGAGUUUCACCCGCAAGUGCUGACCCCAGUUCACGCACCUGGGGCAUGCGACCACACUCUGCUUCUUCUCCCUCUCAUAGGUCGAUGCACCAGUGCAGAGGAGCAGCGCCCCGGGUGUCAAGUGACCCCCGCCUUGUACUGUCGCACACCUGGUGGUGCCAUAUCCGGGCGGAACCGGGCCCGCGGUGCCGGAGCUGCCGUGUGUAAUUAUGGUGAAAGAGUCUUGGUGAGCCUGAGAAAGUUUCUAACAGAAUUACAAGUUUCGAACUGCUAAACAAACACUUGGAUGAUGAGCUUGAGAAAGUUAAAGGCGAGCACACCAGUCUUUACAGAUCCACGGUAGAGUUGCAUGAUUGUUUUAGAAAUCUGUAGAAGAAAGGGACAAGAUACAAGAAUGUUGAAAACCUGAAGAUAGAUAGCAGUAGGGAACUACACAAUGUGAUUCAAUGUUACAAGGAGCAUCUAAUAAGCAGGAAAAACCAAUAAAUGGGUUGAGGCAAGGAUGUAGUGCUGAAUUAGAAAAGAGGACCUGUGGGAAGUGGUGAAAGCAUCAAGAUGAUGCAAAUGGAACUUUUGAGAGUUGUUGAAGUGGAGCAAAAGUUCAGAAAAGAAAUUCAGUCAGGUAACUGAAGUAUAGUAGAGCCUCUUCAGUAAGAGAACAUAUAAAGAUUAUAAUUUUUUUAUAGCCUGCACUAGAGGCUGUACAUUUUGCGAAAUUGUAUUGUUCCAGCUUCUCUUAUUAUACAGGUUAACUGUCAGGUUAUUUACUAUGUGCAGAUUUUCUUUUGGCGUUGCUGAUCGUGCCAUAAAUCUACUUUUUUUUAGAGAAAAGGCGUUAACCCGACUUUAUAGAUAAAGCCACCAGGCAGAGUUAUACCACAGUACCACACAGCUCACAGGUUUUAACGGCCACAUAACAAUACAAGGCCUCCAGCCUAACAUGGCACGCAGGCCAGCAAAACAAAGAACGCCAGCAGAGGAAUUAGGAAGCCGUCCUCGAAGAGCGCGGAAGCAGGGAAGACGUCGUAGAUUUCAUUUUUGAUAGCAUGUCAUCGAACGCCUGACAGUCCCCUUCCUUAGUCAAUGAUCUCCACUGCUACAAAAAUACAUUGGCUUUAAAUAAGCAACUGACAGGGUUAGCCGGAAAAAUGUGUUCAAUCGAGAACUUGUUCCUAGUAGUCCACAGCGCCCAACCGAUCGCAGCCCAGCCCACUAAGAAGACCCUCUUGGACUGGCCUGAUAAGGAAUUAGAAUAUUGCCUCAGGUCCUCAAAGGAGGAGGGAGUCCAGGUAACGUGAAGCCAAAGUCUGAUGCAACUCCACAUGAGUUUAGCUAAGGAGCAAUGGAAGAAAAUAUGCUCAGUAUUCUCAAGAGCCCCACAUAACACGCACCUCUCAGUGCCCGGCCCGUUCCUCUUCAUAAUUUGAUCAGCCGCCGGAAGCUUACAGCGGACAGCUUGCCAUAAAAAUAUUUUAAUUUUAGAGGGGAUUCGGGCUGACCAAAUAUCCUUAAACUUCAUAGAGCGGCCACCGGAAAUAAGCUUCGAAUAAGCCAACUUAACAGAGAAGCGCCCCGAAGAGGAAAGGGGCCACACCACGGAAUCCUCUUCCUCCGAGAGCAGGGGGAAGCAAGCAGUAAGGCGCUGCCAGUCUUCCAACUCUACAGGGGAAAGAGAGCACCGGAAAUCUAAAACCCAACCCUGAACCGAGAGCUCAAAGAUAGAGAUCUCGGGAUCGGCACAAUAGGAGAACAGGGGCGGAAAGGCAACCGCAAGCGUGGUGUCCCCGACCCACCAGUCUAACCAAAACCGAGUGGACUUACCAUUCCUGACAACAAAUUUGACAAGGGACCGGAAAAUCCAGUUGACGCCAAAAUUGAGAACCACCAGAAGUUGAGGCGAACAUGGGGCUCGAGGCGGGGAAAUAUUUAGAUUUGAGUAUCGAUAGCCAUAUUGGGCGCUCCUCAAGAGACAUUAUCUUCCACCACCAUUUUAUCAAAAGGCAAUUGUUCAUUACUCUCGUAUUAAUAAUGCCUAGACCACCCUUGUCCUUAGGGCGGCAAAUGAUGUUCCAUCUGACCAACCUAUAUUUGUGUUUGUUGUCGCAGAGUUCCAGUAAAAGGCUCCCCUAUGCUUGUCGAAACCAGCAUGAAUUCCGCCAGACAGAAGGUAGAAACCCAUAAGGAACAUCGGGAGAGAAGAGAGGCACGAAUUGGUAAGGGCAACCUUGCCCGCCUGCGAGUUAUACUGUCCUCUCCAAGGAAGGACUCUAUUGCCAACUUCCGCUACCACCGGGGCAAAAUCUUUUGCCAAGAGCUUAAACGGAGAAAUAGGUAAACCCAAAUAUUUGAGAGGGUAAGAGCCAAGGGAGCAGUUCAUAAGGUGAGCCACCCGUUGGGCUUCCAGAUCCGAAACCCCAGUCACAAUGACCUCGCUCUUUGAAAAAUUAAUUUUAAGUCCCAAAAGAGCUUCGAAGCAGAGCAAAAGAAAUUUCAAAUUAGUAAGACUGGUCUCAUUGAGCUCCACCAUAAUGAUGGUGUCGUCCGCAUAUUGAAGAUGAGUAAUGCCAUGAGGAAUAAGGUGAGAGCUCACCGGGGAAAUGUGCCCAGCCAACACGGCACGAGAGAGGAUACGAGAUAAAGCAUCGGCAACAAAAUUGAAAAGCAAAGGGGACACCGAAUCCCCUUGUCUAAGGCUCCUACCAUUAGCAAAAAAAUCACUAGUUUGGCCAUUCACAACCACAGCCGUGUGCCCACCAGCCACAAGUUGCAUCGGACGAUGCAUCACCGGACCUUCGAAGCCCUUUGCCAGUAAGACUUGCCGAAGAAAAUCCCAACUCACCGAGUCGUAAGCCUUCUCAAAAUCAAGCUUAAGGACCACAGCCUUGGUCCCCUUAAUCCGCAAAUCAUGAAUAAUCUCGUGCAAGCAAAGCACCCCAUCCAAGAUGUAUCUCCCUUUAAUGAAAGCAGAUUGGAAAGGGCUAAUGACCCGAUGCGCUAUCGGGGAAACUUUAUUGGCCAUGCCUUUAGCUGGCAACUUCGCAAAGUUGUUAAUUAAAGCAAUGGGCCUAAAUUGCGAAAUCAAGUUAGCACCUUUGAUUUUAGGGAUAAGGGUGAGAACCGCGUAGUUGAGCCUCGAGAUAUCAACAGUACCCAGCCAAAAUCCUUGGAUAAUUGCUUUAAUAAGACCUUUUAACUAAGUCCAGAAAUGCCUAAAGAAAGGAAUGGAGAAUCCGUCGGGGCCUGAAGCCGCAUUAGAGUUGGUGGACCUAAUCGUAUCGAAGAUUUCCUCUUCAGACGGGGGGAUAACAGGAGUUCAUUCUCAGCGCUCAACAGCUGCUCGUGGGGAGGCCAGAAGGCCGGAGCAAGCUUAAAGCCCAGCUCAGGUUUAGCCGCUAACAGGUUAGAGAAGAAUUGGAACACAUGGCGAAGAAUGAUCGAAGGAUCAGAGACCCUAACACCAUCAAUCAGCAGACUAUCAAUUAAGCAUCUUCGGCGUCUACCAUUAGCAAUAGCGAAGAAAUAGGCAGUGGGCGCAUCGCCCUUAAGGGUCCAGUUAAUUGUGCCCCUUUGCUUCCAAUAGACUUCCUCCUGCCGAUGAAUAUCCAAAAGCGCCUUUUCUAGAUCAUACCGAAGCUGCCAUUCGGCCUCGGAGAGACCAGAAGUAUCCGCAGGGAUAUCGAGAUCGCCAAUUUGGGCUACCAGCCUCGCUUUGUCACGCCUUGACUCAGCAAAGUGAUUCUUAGACCAUCCUCUAAGGUAUUUACGCAGGAAGUAGGAAACUUGAUGUCAAUCAUCCAUUGGACCAAAAGAGCGAUGAGGAGAGGAAAGAAAUGUCGUAAUCUUCUGAGCCAACAAGGUGGAAAAUCCCUCCACUAAGAGCCAAGACGCAUCGAAUUGAAACCUAUGGCAGCCAACUGAACGAGUCCCAUCAUCAAGGAUUAGGGGGGCAUGAUCAGAUCCUACAAUCGGAAGGGCACGAAGACAAACCCGGGGGAAUAGAACAUCCCAACCAGGGCAGAGGAAAACCCUAUCAAGGACUGAGCGGAUGGGGGAAGCUUGUCGGUUAGUCCAGGUGAAGUGGGCCCCAACCCUAGGGAUUUCACGAAUGGCCGUAUCCCUGAUGAAAGCAUUGAAGGCCUCAGCCAGAGCCCAAGAGAAGUUAGAGGAGCUUUUAUCAGAGGGAUAUCUCAACAGGUUAAAAUCACCCCCAAUCAAAAGGGGAAGCUGACAGGAGUCAAUUUUAUUAUAGAUCUCGUCCAAGAAAGAGUAGGAGAGAGAGUGGUCUACCGGGCCAUAAACCACCAUGAUCUCGAGAAGAGAAUUAAGGGAACGGUGGGAAACUACCGUGCUAGCCCAGUAGAUACCAUGGUCAAAAGCAACAAAAUCAAAUACAUUAAUAUUAGUGCCCAGAAGAAAGCCACCCGACUGACCAACAGAGGCCGCAAAAUUCCAAUUGAAUCUAUCAAUCCCAGCAAUAGCCGAAAGCUCACUCGGGGAGAAGGAGGGUUUGAGGGUCUCAACAAGGCCAAUAAAAUCAACGUUUUCAGACCGCACCAGGUCUUUCAGUUGAUCCCUGCGCCCCCUAGCGCAGAAACCUCUGAUAUUCCAAAAUAAGGCCUUCAUCUGAAGGAGAGGUUUUUAAUUCUAAGGCUCGACCUGCACGGAGCCUUGCAGGGUUUAAUGCGCUUCCCAGCCCUCGCUUCUGAACCGGGGAGACCUGACACCGUCAGCCUCCCCCACAGCCCCCCGGCCACAACCAUAAGGGCAGACACACCAACCCCAGCCUCCUUGGCUUUAGCAAUGUCAGCUUGAGCUAGCUCGUUAGCCCUAAUCGCAUUAAGUAAGGAAGAAGGGGAACCCAAACUAGAGUCUAAGCAAAUCCCUACAUCAUCUAGAAUCUUAAACAGCUGUUCAUCAGACUGAGACGGCAAGACUAAACGAACAGGAGACAGAACCUUAGGAGAGGAAAUAGACAAAGCUGGGAGCGAACCUGAAUGAGGAAGAUCCUGCGCCGCUGCACGCCGAGCCACCCGGUCAGCCACACGCUCGCCGCUGUUGGAGACCCGACCGCUCUUGCGAGCAGUAGAGGCAGGAGAACGCACAGGCACGGGGGGAGCCCGGCCGGGGGAAGCAGCCACCGAGGACGGGCCCGAAGCCGCACCCAAAUCCGCCUCCAACCUGCGGCACAGCCCAGCCGCGGACUGCCUGGAAUCCCCGGACGCCCUGCUCUUAGCUGAGAACUUUUUGACCAAUGAUUUCUUCCUCUUCUUGGACGCCGACGGGCCAACCGGAGGCAGAUCCUCAAUGCCAGAAAGCAAAGGGGAGGUGGGGCGAGCAGGAAUAUUAGAGCACGCCGCCGACAGAGGGGUGCCCUUCGGCUCACCAGAGGCCGCGACCCCACCACCCAUACCAGGCAAGGAGGCCUGUGCCCCACCGCCCGCCGAAGCACAAUCCUUCAUUAGCUCUUGAUCUUCAGGAGACAUCCCAUCCCAUUCUGACUGGGUAAAGUGAGGAUCCGUGCCAUGCGUCGAGUCAUCAGGGCAUCCCUCACCAUCCUUGCUCUUGUCAUCAUUGCCGGGGGCCAGAGGCGGGGGAGGAGGGGGAGGCAAGGCUGGGCCAGGAGCACCCUCCACCCGGACCCGAAGCCUGAAGCCACCCGCCGCCGGGAAGACAUCCACAGCACCACGGAUGCAAAUAGGGUCUACACACCAGAUACGGAGACGAGCUGGACCAAGAACAGACAGCGAGGCAUGGUCGACCUCGAUGGGUUUGCCGAGGAGCACACCAAACGCCAUAAGGAAGGCCGUUGUGCGCAUGUUAGGAGGAACAUCAUCCACUAGCACCCAAACAUCAGACAGGGAAGAGAUGGCCUUUGACCCGUUGGAGGCAGCUUUAACCGAAACCACUAGCUUAUUCAGAGGGAGCGUGAAGCUGGUACAGGAGGAUAUCAUGCGAAGGCUCUCUUUAGAGGGGAAUGUAGCAGCGAACUCAAAUUCAGAUAACUAGCGAAUCUGCCAAUCCCACCCGCCUUCAUCCCACAACCGAAGUUCAUCAAGAAGGACCUGGGAGGAAAUGCGCUUGUCCUGAACAGAUAUGACACCCACAUUGGAAAAAAGCGAGGGGAUAGGAGCAGCUACAGGAACCUCCCUAUCAAGGGCAAAGAAAGAACAACCAGGGAGGCCGACACCAUAGUGAGCGAAGGAUGGAGGUUUGACACGGUUUUGACAAUCCACUGUGAGGUGGCCAUCCUCCCUACAGAUGAGGCAAAAAGGAGGGUUUUCACAUCGGAACUGGAAGUGGCCAGGGCGAUGACACGCAAAGCAAGUGAGGAUAGGGUUGGAGACCUGGGAAUGAGGGGGGAUGCGACCAGGGCCACGAGAGGGAGGAGGAGGGAGGAUACCAUUACCAGGAGCACCAGCACUAGCACCGGCGCCACGCCCCGCAGCACUCCCAAAAGAACGCCGAGCAGGGACACCCGACGCGCCACGAGGAACGAAGCGAGACGGGCCACCACCAACCACCACCGGCGCCCGCGGCGGCCCGUCACCCCGGGGGACCAGCAAAGGGGGCGACGAGGAAGGCCCCGAGGAACCCUCCCGACUCCCCAGCGCCGCCUGCUCCCAGGGAUCAACCGCAGCCACCGGAGCACGAGAAGCAGGGGGCGGAGGGACCGCCGACCCAGAUCCAGAAGCCCGAGGGGACGCACCAGCCGUCUCCGACGCAGCCCCCGCGCCCGGAGCGAGCGAGGCAUGGAGCUUGGCACGGAGCGAAGCCUCGUACUCCAGAUCCGCGGCGGCGUCGCCAGAUCCAUCGCGCCCCCGCUUAUGGCCGGAGACCGCCUCACAGGAGGACCCGCGGGAGCGAUCCAUCGCGGCCACCGUCGCGAAAGGAAGGAGGAGGGGAGGUGGAGGAGGAGAUCUGACGAAACAGCGGACAGGGAGACGGCGCCGACGCAGGUCAGAGGAGGAAGCAGGAAACCCUAGAAGAGGGGGAACCGCUCCCUUCCGAACCCAUAUAUAGCCAGAGCAAGCCAGGCCAGGCUCGCCAAGGUGGGCCGGGGGAGGGUUGGGCGAAAUCUGGGCCAACCGCGGCCCAGGAGCCACACCCAGAAGGGGGGGAGUCAGAAGAAGAAGCCAACGAAGGGACCGAAACAGGCCCACACGGCCCAACAGCAGCCAAAGGGGCCCGCGGCUCAGCCCGGGGCACCAGCGCCAGCCCCGAUCCCAGAUCUAGGGUUGGCACCGGCGCCGCUGCCACCGAGGAAGCGGGGACCACGGCCGAAGGCGAGCCAGGGAGGGCAGCCGCCGGAGGGGAGGACGCCGACGACUCCACCACAGCCACCCCAGAGCCCACGAGCGACCCAACCAAAGACUAGGAGGCAACGCGCCGGCGACCACGACCACGAACGACGCGGCACCACCCAUCCGCGUCCACUCCAGACCCGACCAGCCUCCCCCUACCUCCCGGAGCGAACUUGCGCCGGCGGCCCGCCGCCAGGGCAACCGACGACCCACCCACCUGAGCCGAAAGGGGAGGAGGGGGAAGAGCCUCAGAAUCCGAGCCAGAGUCAUCCGAAUCGAGCGCCCAAAUCCUGUUAACCCGGGGCGCAGCCGGGGCCGCGGCACCGGACGGGGGAGCCGAAGAGCGGGAGGGGACGAGGCUCGCCGCUGACGAGGGGCCCGGAGGAGACCUCAAGGGGGAGGGAGAGAGGGAAGCCGCACGAGGCUGGGACGCCGACGAGGGGGAGCCGCGGGACGGCGACGCCCCAGGAGAGAGGAGGGUGAGAGGAGAAGAGAGCGCCAUUCAGUUGCUCAAAUCCGGUCAGAGCAUUUUUAAUUAUAAAUCUACUUAUUGAUCCUCUUCUUAUUUGUGGGCCUAAUGAUUAUUCAGAAGGGAUGCUACAUGUUCCUAGAUGCACCAGAUCACUAAAUCUGGUAUGACUUGACCUUGGUCCUUCACUUCACUCAAGAUCAGAGACUGUUAAUGGGAAGUUAGUUGGUGUAAUUUGUGAUUAAGCUUGACGUUCUUGCCUAUUUUUUCCUACUUUCGUUGGUAUUGUCAUGCCAUGUAGUUUCUAUAGUAGCAUAGCCUUUCUUAUAUAGACUUUCAUAACACUGGGAUUUUUUUGAGGGAUAACACUGGAAUUUUAGAUAGUUUUUUUUUUUGUAGAAGUCCCAAACUGAAAUCUGAACAAACUUUAUAUCCAAAGGCCAGCAUAAUGGUGCUUAAAAGAAAUGCUAAUCUGCACUUGCAUUCCCUUGCAUUGGCGUGGUUCAAGGACAUGUUUCGUUUUCCCUCCUCUUCUUUCCUUCUUCAAAUCUUCAGUCCAACUGUAUGAAUAGAAACAAACAUUUUCUUCCGUUUGUAGAUGAAAAAGAAGAUGGCUGGCUUACCAAUCGCCUGAGCACCCAGAGCUUCAGCGCCCAACUAUUAUUGAAGAAGGCUCGGGCUAAUCGAGUUGUCCCAAAUAAGGUACAUACCUGACCCCUUUCCACUCUUGGAGUCCACCCACCCACGAACUGCUUGGCCAAGGGAGAAAACUGAAGCAGCGCUAUUCAGUUAGAACAGAGCACACACGGUCAAGUUUCAGGAACCAAUUAAUGCUUUCAUAAGUUCUCUUUUUAAACUGAGUGCUAUCUAAAGAAGCACAACCCUCUUAUUACAAGGUUAAGAUCAUCUGGACACCAACUAUAACGGCUUGUAAUGAGCUAGAUUGGCCGGGACUGGACAUUAUGGAUUUGGAAGUGUAUAUAUACUGGAAAAUGGGAACAUAGUAUUUGUAUGGUUAUUUUUUUGAAUUGACAACAUUGUACAGUCUUCCUCGGCAGUGCACAUACUGAUUAUUAACUGUUGCUUUGAAAUACUUGGAUCGCAUAUUGAACCGGAGUUUUCGGUGUUGAAAUUGGACACCUUGCAUCAGAGAGUCAAACACUACAACAAGAUCACUUUGAUGCCAGCUAAUCGUUUACAUGAGGCUUAGCGAUUUGGAUUCCAUCUUACUUUGAUGUUUACAUGAGGCUCUCUUUUUUAAGUUUAAUUGAUCUAAUGGUUGCUGAUUGUAGUGUGAGCCAAUGAAAUCAGAUGACGUUUCUCACGUGGGGAAAUUUGGAUGUUGUGUGUUAUCUGUUGUUUCUUCAUAACACACAGCUAAACUUCAGAUUAUCU
rnacentral:lncRNA from 1 species